GGGGCGUGGCGACCGUGCGCCUACGGGCGUGACUGACAGGAGGGGGGCUGCUGCUCUAGCAAGAAGGAGGUACGUCCGUGAAGGAGGUGGUGGCCCUCCCAGAUACACUCCUACCCGGUCACUUGGGAAGGCCCCCACCACAGUACCAGCAUAAUGGCGGAGGCAAUGAUGUCUGCUCACGUUUAGGAGUGACUGGCUGGACUCAGAGCACGCUGUCCAGGCACAGAGCGGGAACCUGAAGAAUCUGGGUUGAGAUGAAUUUGCUCAGACUCAGAAUCCACUCUCUGGACUGCCACCACUUGUGCCCAGCCCAGGCCCUGCCUUCUCUUGCAGUGGCUGCCCAGGAGCUGACCUGCUGGAGCCUGGCCCCAGCCCUCCAUAAGUUCCUGUGUGCUCAAGCCAACUGCAGGGGAUUCUGGCUUCCGUGUGGCAGAAUGAACCUAUCUGAGCUCCCCAACAUCCCAGCAGCCAGGAUGAGGGCAAGGAAAGAUUUUGAAGAAUGUGGGAUCCUGCUGACGAAGAAACUGAGCCUCAGGGACUGACGUGUCCAGUGCCUCUCAGCUGCUGUGUGGCUCCUGCAUCUGCGCUCUCGGCUGCCGUGACAUUCUGCCUCUACCUUUGGAAACAUUAGCCUGAGAAUUUGUGGAUGCUCUGCUUGUAAGAGCCACAUGGCUGCCUGUCGGCAGGAGCGGCCACAGCUCUCCUGGACAAUCCGACAGGCCCUCUGACGGUUCAACAGAAUGAGGUCGAACCACGUUGUUACUGCUUGCUUUGUAUUGAGACUAUGUAUCAACUGAAAAAAGUAAUUUGCCAUGAUGCACCCAAGCCUAUUUUUAUAAGAGAAAAAAAAAACUACACGCGUCUCACUAAGAACUGAAAGGGUUGGAAGAUUCCAGACAAGACCACCACCUGUGACGAGAUUGCUUCUCAGAGGAAGGAUGGGAGUGAGAUGCAGAACAGUGCUGGCGAAGAGUAGGAAACUGUGAUAACUGUGUUCUUUCGGUAAUUAAACAGGAAACGUGUUUUUAAAGAAAAGAUAUUAAAGAACUCAAAAGGUGUCCCGAGGGCCCCUCCCCAGGGGAGAACUAUCAGGAAGGGAAGGACUUGAGGGAUAACUAUAAUUUUUCUGUACUAGUAACCUUUUGCAUCAAAGAGAUCUGGAUUUGAAGUCUAGUUCCACCCCUGACCAGCUGUGGACAAGGGAGUGACCUCAGUUUCUUCAUCUGCAAAAUGGAAAUACAGGUUCAUCAUUCACAGGGUUGCUAUAGAAAUUCCAUGAGCUAAUUCGGGAAGCAUCCAGCGUGGUCCCUGGCACGUGGCAAGGGCUCCUAAACGGUUGUCACAACAAGGAAGAAGGUACAAGGUGCUGCCCCAGGGUCCUGGGGCUCAGAGGGGCCCAGGUGGGGGAGAGGGGGUGUGCCAGGGAACAAAGGCCCAGGAGAAGACACUCAGGAAGUUGGGCCUUCUCUCUGCUAUGACUUCAAGAAGGGGAACCAGGCUCGGGUUUGGCAGGGGGGCGCUGGCCACUAUGGUGAGUCCCACAGCCCGGCCUGAGGGCUGCUCUCCCACCACAUGGCGGCCAGCCUGCAGGGGAAUGGAGAAGUAAGAGCUGUUUCCUGGGGAGAGCCAGACAGGCCCUGCUGAGCAUGGAAAAACCCUCCCGUCAGCAGGGCCUGGGGGUGGGAAGCCCUGGCUCCAGGCCUGGCCACCUGUGCCUCUCUGCAGCCCAGGCCCUGCGCUCUGCCAGCUUGGACCCCCCAGGCCAACUGAAGCUGGGCCCA